CCUGGACACACACACACACACACACACACUGUUUCUGACAUCUGGUAGAUGUUUUGUAUGUGUUGUGUGUUGAUGUCUUGUGUGUUGAUAUAUUGUGUGAUGGUAUAUUGUGUGUUGAUGUGUUGUGUGUUGAUGUGUUGUGUGUAGUAUGAGUUGGUGGUGUUUAUAUCGAGGUGUAAUGUGCGUGUAGUAUGAGGUGGUGGUGUUUGUACCGAGGUGUAGUGUGCGUGUAGUAUGAGGUGGUGGUGUUUGUACCGAGGUGUAGUGUGCGUGUAGUAUGAGGUGGUGGUGUUUGUACCGAGGUGUAGUGUGCGUGUAGUAUGAGGUGGUGGUGUUUGUACCGAGGUGUAGUGUGCGUGUAGUAUGAGGUGGUGGUGUUUGUACCGAGGUGUAGUGUGCGUGUAGUAUGAGGUGGUGGUGUUUGUACCGAGGUGUAGUGUGCGUGUAGUAUGAGGUGGUGGUGUUUGUACCGAGGUGUAGUGUGCGUGUAGUAUGAGGUGGUGGUGUUUGUACCGAGGUGUAGUGUGCGUGUAG